rnacentral:rRNA from 1 species
UAUCUCUGUAGAGUCUGCAUAUCAAUAAGCGGAGGAAAAGAAACUAACAAGGAUUCCCUUAGUAACGGCGAGUGAAGCGGGAAGAGCUCAAAUUUGAAAUCUUCAAGGUUUUACCUUGACGAAUUGUAGUUUAAAGAAGUGUUUUCUGUUGAAGUUUCGGUAAAAGUUCUUUGGAAUAGGACAUCAUAGAGGGUGAGAAUCCCGUAUUUGACCAUUAUUUCCAGCUUUGUGAUACACCUUCAAAGAGUCGGAUUGUUUGGGAAUGCAGUCCAAAAUGGGUGGUAAAUUUCAUCUAAAGCUAAAUAUUGGCGAGAGACCGAUAGCGAACAAGUACCGUGAGGGAAAGAUGAAAAGAACUUUGAAAAGAGAGUUAAACAGUACGUGAAAUUGUCAAAAGGGAAGCGUUUGACACCAGUGUUGUUUCUACGAAAAUCAAUUUAUGAUGGCUUGAUGCUAAGCUUUAAGACUUUAUCCGCUUGUUGUUUAGUUUUCUUGUCUUUGUGAAUGCACUUUUCGUGGAACAAGUCAACAUCAAUUUCUUUUGCUGUAAAAGGGUAAGAGGAAGGUAGCUUCGGCUUCGGUUGAAGUGUUUAUAGCCUUUUAUCUCUGCAGUCGGAGAGAUUGAGGUCUGCAGCGUAGACUCUUCGGGGUUAGAUACGUCGGUGCUAAGCUAUAGCUUUUCAUAGACAACUUGUUGACUAUGAUUAGUCAUGUAGCUUACUCGCUUCUGCUAUUUUACCUACGCUUAGGAUGUUGAGUCAUCACACAUCUCU